rnacentral:rRNA from 1 species
GUGCCUAACACAUGCAAGUCGAACGAGAAAGUGGAGCAAUCCAUGAGUAAAGUGGCGACCGGGUGAGUAACACGUGACUAACCUACCUUCGAGUGGGGGAUAACCCCGGGAAACCGGGGCUAAUACCGCAUAACAUCGCAAGAUCAAAGCAGCAAUGCGCUGGAAGAGGGGGUCGCGGCUGAUUAGCUAGUUGGCGGGGUAACGGCCCACCAAGGCGAAGAUCGGUAUCCGGCCUGAGAGGGCGCACGGACACACUGGAACUGAAACACGGUCCAG